ensembl:lncRNA
AAUUGAUAAGGGACUUUCUUCCCUUAAUUUAUUGGCUUCAGCCUCCCCAGUCUGCCCUGGACUCGACCCCUGCAGCUGGAGCCCAGAGCCCCCUUCUCCAUCUACCUCCCGACCUCUCGGAGAGGGGUGGGGGUGGGGGCGGUCACCAGGGCGGGCCAACUGAGGCUCCAAGUGGGAAGGCACACAGGGACGAGGGCAAGGUCGAGUUCCCGCGGAGGAUCCGGUAGGGGAAAGGCGAGCUCACCCCACGUGGCUUUCAAGCCCAGGCGCCCCUCCCGCCGGGCCACAAAGGGAGCCCUCAGCCAGGAGCGCCGGGCGCACAGGAGAGCCGGCGGGAAUCCUCACCAGACUGGGAAGGCAAGGAGAAGCACACCCUGACUGUGGCCCACACCCAUGGGAGCUGUUGUUCAUGACAGCACUUUGGCUCUUUCCACCAUCCGUUUGAGAGCAUUCAGUUUCCUCGACCCACAGAUGAGCAGAGCACAUCUGCCAGCCCAGUUCCCCCUGGCGGAGCGCACCUCUGACCCUCACUUGGAGACCUCCUGGACUCUUCUUGGACUUUCCAGCCAAUGGCUUGCAGUAGUAGGGAAAACUCACUUCUAUUUUGAUGGUAUGGAAGGAGUGAGGCCUGGUAAUCAAACUGGGCAUAAAUCCCAGCUCCAUCACUCACCAACUGUGUGACUUUGGGGAAGUCACUUUUCUGAACCUCGGUUUCCACAACUAUAAAACAAGAAUAAUAAUUUGUAAUUUGCAGAGCUGCUGUGAAAUUAAACAAAGCAAAAUAUGUAAAGGCCUUAGUGGUUUCUGGCCUUCUUAGUGGAGGCACUGGCCUAGUGUAAACACCUCUGACCCCUCUUCCUGUAGGUCCACCACUGGGUUGCCUCAGUUCUGGUGCCAGGUUCUGAGAACAGCCUGCUCCGCCCUCUUUUUCUUUUCUUCCUUCUCAUCCCAGUGUUACCUCCUAUCCUGGCCCCUCUCCAAAUCUGGUGUUACAUGAAAUCGUCUGCCUAAAACUUUGAAGGUGUUCCUAGGCUAGAAAUCUCAGGGGUGUCUUCUCUCUUUUCUUACCCCUCCAUACCUUCUCCCUGGCAUUCUGACUUAGCGAUUCCAUCCAUAAUUGUGGCUUUACCUCAUUUAUAGGGAAGGCUGUCAAAUCUGUUUCAUGCCUUGACUUCCAAGCCCAUCUCUGUCCUCCUUGUUCCCCGAUCUCAACCGUCAGGGGGAAAGUGUACAAUCUGCACUUAGUCAUUUUGCAGACAUAGCCUAUGAAGGCAUAGUAACAUCACCUGUUUAUCGAGCACCGAGUAGGUCCAUGUCUCUGCACCAGGAUACAAUACAGGAGGGAAAAGAUGUGUUUCUUGUCCUCAGGGGCUCCUGGGUCAGAGAGAGUUCCAGUGCCAGGUGCACGUGAGGCAUAACUGUAAACAGGUGUCACUGGAAAUAGAAAGUUAUUUGUCAUUGUGGCCUUUAAUGCUAUCAGUGGAGCCAAGAAUAAGCCAUUGCCAGUACUGUCACAUGGGAGAAGAUAAUGGAAAGAAAGAAGGGAGGAAGGAAAGGAAGUAGAAGAGAAAGAAAAGAAAGAAGAAAAGGAGAAAGAGAAAGGAAGGAAGAAAGAAAAAGGGAGGAAAGGAGGAAGGAAGGAAGGGGGAUUUAAGAAAACAGGCAGAGAGAGAAGUCAUGAGAAAAGUCAAAAGAAGUCAGAAAGAAAAACACCAACACAGUAUAUUAACACACAUAUAUAUAUGGAAUUUGGAAAGAUGGUAAUGACAACCCUAUAUGCGAGACAGCAAAAGAGACACAGAUAUAAAGAACAGACUUUUGGACUCUGUGGGAGAAGGCGAAGGUGGGAUGAUUUGAGAGAAUAGCAUUGAAACAUGUAUAUUACCACAUGUGAAACAGAUGACCAGUCCAAGUUCAAUGUGUGAAACAGGACACUCAAAGCCGGUGCACUGGGAC